GGAAUUUUACUAGAAGGGUUAAACACCUUUCUUCUACACAAUCCCCUCAUUAUAUGCUGGUGAUGGAAAAUGCCAUCUAUCACAUUGGUCCAAACUCUCUUAAAGGUGUUUAAUUGCGGGGCUACAAAAGCCGUACCAUAUUAGCCGCACCAUUUGCAUUCUGAUCGAACCAUUCAGUCAACCCAUUGAAGAGACCACUCCCCUCAGGGCAGAAAUGCUUCAUCACUGGGUAAACAUGAUCAAUUAUAACAACUUCAAACUGAUUCACAGUGGCUCUUUCCUUCAAGGAAACAAGACAUCCAUAUACGCUAAACUGCACGUGAGCUUGAAUUCUUCCCUUUAAAACUGCUGAUCGUCCCACGAUAUGUUCCCAUCCCUUUUCUCUCUGUUAUUGUAGGGUGACUUCAGGUGACUGUUGCUAUGAUUUGGCUCUGUAUAAACAAAAGGGAAUUGGACUUAACUGAAUCCUAAGGCAUUAUCUGCUGCCACUGGUAUCUCAGAGAUGCACAUGAGGCGAUGUAGAGGAGCCCUCGUUCUUAUUGGAAAGGGAGAAAGACUGUUUGUUGGUGGUUGUUGGAGAAAGUCACAGGUUUUUCGGUCAGGUACCAGUGAUAUGUGCCCUGUUUGUUUUCACUUGUAUUCCACUUUCACUCGCUAAUUAGAUGUAGGCACUAUUUAGAUAAGCCUGGGCACUGAAAACUACAAGAUUGGUUUAGGAACACAAUAUUAUCUGGCCUAUAGAAAAAUAACAUUUACCCAGUUUUAAAAAUUAUUUAUAUCAAUUUUUGUAAAUACUUUUUAAAAUGUAUUUUUUUAUUAUAUAUUUUAUUUUUGUAUAUUAUUUUUAAAUACUUUUUACAGUUUUAUUUUUAUUAUUUAUUUUAUUGAUUUAUUUAUUUUUAAUGAUGAUGAUUAUUUUUGUUUUUUUUUUAACCCAGGGGGUUUAAAUGUGAGGGGGGUUUAGCUGGGAGUGAGAAACCUGUGAGAAUUCGUCCUAACACCAUUGCCACAGGAAACCACGUGUGGAAUAAUUUUGAGACACUGGUGGUUUUGACAAUCGGCAGCAUUUCACACCUUUUGAAUGAGACCAGGGUGAUUACAAAGAGAUGUGUGUGCAAAUUUAAAAAAAGCUGCCAUAUUGCACCAAAAGUCAAAAUAUUUCACUUGUGAUAUUUUCCCAGUUUAUGUGCACUAGAUUUAGCUCAACAUGAGUCUUUGCUGCUCUGAAACACAAGCAAAGGAAAGUAGGACAAAAGCAACUGACUUAUUGUUGCAUAUUACAGCAUAUAAUGCUAGUGAAAAUGAAAACAGUGAGUGUUAGAGAGAAAAAUCAUGUCAGCAAUAAGAAACCCUAACAUCCCUUAUGUAUGACUCAUAACAUCCCCUAUGUUUUUGGUUUUAAGAACUUUUGUGGAAUUUUACCACCAGCCCCGUACUUCUACCUUGUUUCUGAGAAAUGACAGUUAUUGGUCACAUGAACACAGG
ensembl:lncRNA